rnacentral:lncRNA from 1 species
GCCAGAUGGUGAAUCAUCACGAGGCCAGCAUGUAUCUGAACAUCCUUGGUCCAAAAAGCAGAGGCCUGCACGAGGUUGCCCUGGGGAACCUGGAAUCUGAGCUAAUGAGGUGACUUCCUGGCCCAACCCAGACAGCUGAGGCUGCAGCAACAUCGGUAGUAAGGGACAGGUAGCCUGGGACCUCUUCUGAGCCUAACAGUCUGGGUCCCCUUGUGGGCAACAAGCAUCCAACAAGUGUCUGUGUGUGCUGUGAACAAGUACACUGGACAACAGGUGUGGACAGGGACCAUCCGGAACACUGAAAGACAUGGUCAUCCCGCCUGUACCAUCAGCAUCCUCAUCUCCAUCUAAAAGACAAGCCAAGGAUCACAGAGACUGCCACUUGCCCAGGGACACAGCUGGGCAGAGGCAAGCCUCAGAUCUGAAUCAGACCAGAAUCCAGCUUUUGCUCCUGUCCCCUGACAGACCCUCCACCCUCCACUUGCCAUGGUAAUAAUAUCUCUCAUUGAUCAAGCACUCACUCCAGGCCACACACUGUGCUAAGCGCCUUACAUUCAUUAUCUCAUUAAAUUCUCAUAAUCA